rnacentral:rRNA from 1 species
GUUUGAUCCUGGCUCAGAACGAACGCUGGCGGCGUGCCUAACACAUGCAAGUCGAACGUGAUCCAGAGCUUGCUCUGGUGAAAGUGGCGCACGGGUGAGUAACGCGUGGAUAACCUACCCUGGUAUCCGGGAUAACAUUCCGAAAGGGGUGCUAAUACCGGAUAAGCCCACGGGCUCUUUGGAGCUUGCGGGAAAAGGUGGCCUCUAUUUAUAAGCUACUGUAUCAGGAUGGGUCCGCGUACCAUUAGCUAGUUGGCGGUGUAACGGACCACCAAGGCGACGAUGAUUAGCUGGUCUGAGAGGAUGAUCAGCCACACUGGAACUGAGACACGGUCCAGACUCCUACGGGAGGCAGCAGUGGGGAAUUUUGCGCAAUGGGGGAAACCCUGACGCAGCAACGCCGCGUGAGUGAUGAAGGCCUUUGGGUCGUAAAGCUCUGUCAGAGGGGAAGAAAUGAUAUAGUGCUAAUACCACUUUAUCUUGACGGUACCCCCAAAGGAAGCACCGGCUAACUCCGUGCCAGCAGCCGCGGUAAUAC